GCGUAACGCGUGGGAAUCUGCCCUUGGGUUCGGAAUACANNUGGAAACGACUGCUAAUACCGAAUGAUGACUCCGGUCCAAAGAUUUAUCGCCCAGGGAUGAGCCCGCGUCGGAUUAGCUAGUUGGUGAGGUAAAAGCUCACCAAGGCGACGAUCCGUAGCUGGUCUGAGAGGAUGAUCAGCCACACUGGGACUGAGACACGGCCCAGACUCCUACGGGAGGCAGCAGUAGGGAAUAUUGGACAAUGGGCGAAAGCCUGAUCCAGCAAUGCCGCGUGACGAUGAAGGCCUUAGGGUUGUC
rnacentral:rRNA from 1 species